UCGACGAGGAAUGGAAUUGAUGUAGGUGCGAUAUGUUCGGUGGUACGGCAAACGCGGUACGUUUUAAUAAUGAGAAGAUGAUAACGAAGACGAUGAAAAUGGAGGGAAGGGGAGACGGGGGAGGGGGUCUGGAGAAGUGUUACAAAGUUACCCCCGAGAUGGUACGUGAAAAAUUUUGCUGAGAAAAGGAGGAAAGAAGUAGGGAAAGCUCGGGCAAAGUUGCAGAACGAACGAACGAACGGCAGCCGGUAUUUAGCGUACGUACGUACUUACAUUACGAUAUUAUAUACGUACUCAUAGGUAUAUCAUCCAGGCGAAAGAGGAGAACCGACCACGAAGAGGACUCGAAGGGGGAGAGAGGCAGGGGAGGGGGAGGGGCGCCCUUGACUUGAACUUGCGGUUGGCGGGGGAGUGGGAAUGCAUGGCCUUGAGCCGCCCUGUCUCGAUGUUACAGCGUUUCUCAAUCGGGCACCUUGCCACUUGAUCUUCCUCCUUUGAACGAUCGUCUCCGCGAUAAUAAAUACCUAGCCAUGUACACCAUAGACUAAACAUGAAUCUCAUGGCGGCUAACGGAGAGCAACCAACCGAAUCGGCCCGUUUCUUCUGCUUCUGCUUACGCUGCUGCUGGCUGCGGCUGCUGCAAGUCUGUAAAAUUAAGAAGUUGAGAACGCGACGCGUCGCGACCGAAGGAGGAGGGGGGUACGGGACUGUGAGAAGAAGGAUUUUGGGGGCGGAAGGGGGAAGGGGAAAAGGGAGACUCUUAGGGAGGAGGAGGAGAAGAAAAAAAGGGAAGGGAUGUGAAGAGAAGAGAAGAGAAGAGAAGGAGCGAGGUGACGGGCGAUGGGCAGCGUUGCGAGGGGCAGGGGACGAGGAAUCGAGAAAAAGAGAAGGGUGGUGGUCUUCGGUCCCCGCAGCAGCAAACCGGCAGCAGCCAGCAGCACUGACGCAGCAUACUCGAAUCCCGUUUUUGAUAUUUCAUUCCCCCGUGAAAAGAACAUCCACGUAAUUUCUUGUUCGAAACAAAGGGGGACGAAAAAAAAAUCACGCCCCCGUCCCGGGGUGACGUGGAGAUCGCGGCCGAAGACCGAAAUUCAUUCCUCUCCGAGGUGAAAUGAAAAAGGACGAAGUCGGUAGUCGCGGUAGGAAUAAUGAUAACGUUCAUAAUAAUGAUCGUAGCGAGAGUGGUAGCGGUAGAAGUUAAAGUCGAAGUUAUACGAGGAAAGAGAGCAAAGAUGGGUCGCGGAACUUGCGCUGCAUCCGACGACACCGACGGAGCAGCACGUGGCCUACUACUCUACUCAUCGCUGCACUCUUUGCAGGUCCUGAACUGCGCCUACCUACCUACCUACCUAACUACCUAACUACCUCUGUUUCUCUACCUCAGCCACCUUCUCGGCUUAUUGGUUUUGUGCAACGUUUCCGACGCCCAACUUAAUCGCAAUGCGACGAGUGGGGCGACUUUGUUCCUCCUUUUUUCACGUCUUACACGUCCAACACUUCCCGAUUCUCCCGUACCCAACCACCCGCCUACCUACCCCUUGGUAAAAUAUUAUUUACUCCGUUUUCACUCGUAUGUAUUACCCCCAUAUCGUGUAUAUACUCGGUCAGUAAUAUCCUGCGGGGGAAUUUCUUCUUUUAUGUAUGCUGGAUUUCAUUCAUACCCCAGUUUAUAGUUUAUGCGAUUUUCUCGCGUGAUUUCUGACGCGGAGAACGAUCAUCUUGAAAAAUAAGUCGAAUCGAUGACGAGAGAAAAGGGGAAUCGCGUGCCAUUGAAUAAAAUUUUGUGAUAUUUGUGCGCCACGAAUGGGCACAGAUCUGGUUAACGAGACGGUUUAAAAAUCGUUUUUUUUUUUGUUUUGUUUUUUGGCGAGUAGAAACUUUCGCCGAGUUUAUCGCAGGUAUAGCUAUGGAUACGUGCAUCGCCGAUGACUCCUCGGAGUUAAUUUUCUCGGGCGCUGCUGCUGCUGCUGUUGGUGGUUGAUGUCGAAAGUUGAAAAGAUUAUAAAACGCGGCGUAUGCUAAGCGGAAGACUACGCCAAUGAUACCGAGCUCACCGACCUUCGAAUCGGCCAGGCCGUUUUUGUGCUCUGACGCUGCAGGGCAAAGCGGGGAAAAUACGGAGAAGAUGGAGGGAAGAGGGAAGCUAAUGCAGUCCUCGUAGCCAGUCGGUCGCACAACUCUGUAGGAAUAUUUUAUUUCUAUAAUAAUAUUUGUUAAGAAUGGAAGAACGAAAAAAAUUUAUACUCUCUCUUUACGUGUCGUUGUUUGUUAACAACCGAUUCAUUUGUACUUAAAUUCGAUCGGACCCGACGCGGAAACGAAACACGCGUUGCGAAUAACGAAACUAUUUUUUUCUCGGUUUUCUGGAUUCCCUUUCCCUGAGAAUCGAUCGAUUUUCGCUCCGUCGAUGGAGCGACACCCGAUAUCGAUUCGUUUUGAUGAGAUUAAUGUAAAAUUUCAAAUGUUCUUGAUCAUCUUUCAGGUCGGAGCAAUCUUGGAAUGGCCAAUGGCCAGUAAUUGGUGAGCUAGGUAUACAGCAGUAAUGGUAUAUCUCGUGGUAUUCGCCCGAUGGAGCGAAUAUUUUCGUCUUAAGGACCGGUCCUCCUUCUCCUCCUUUUACUUCUACUUCUUCUCCCUCUCCUUCUCCCGGUUUUUGGUUCGGUUGACGUUGCAGACUGCGGUUGUUGUCGGAAUGCGCCCCGCAAUGAGUCGAGCGCUUAGCAAAAUAACAGAAUCAAUUUUUGACAAGCUGUUUGCCAGCAAAAUCUUGAUCAUCCUACUCUUUAUUUUUAUUUUUCUGUUUUUUUUUCUUCUUCAGAUCCUGUAUAACAACCGGCACUUCACAGCAAGGAGUCGAGUCCAAAAAAAAAAUGCAUGAAUAUUAUAUACGCACGCAUAUUUGUAGAUUUUUAUUAGCGCGUAUCGCGUGUAUUUCUACAUCCAGAGGAGGGGAGAGACAAAAGAAUAAUUGAUCUCACAUGAAUUCGACUUGCGUUAAGCGUAAUCACCUCGAUAACGAUUUAAAAAUCUUUCAAAUUUAUUUGUCCGCGCAACGCGGAUACCCUAUUACAAUAAUAUUUUAAAACGACGACAGAUUCAGCACCCGCGAUUAUGACUCAUACUGAAUUUGGCCAUGAAAUACUAACGAAACUCAACGCGCGCACACACCCGAGGAACAAGCGAAACAUAUCGCGUUGUAUUUUUGCAUGUAAUACAUGCCAAACGAAAUAUAAAAUAUAUUAACGUGUACUAAAAUAUGAGCUGAUCAUCAUCCAGCGGUGAAUGAUUACCUAUUUUUCAAUUUUCACUCCCCCGUUCAGUGCCUGAUAAAUUUAACGUUUCAAUGAUUUUUAUUUUAUUUUUAAAUCAGCUUUUUUUUUAUCACAUAUUUGUGCAGCGAGCCGAGCAGCAAUUAUUUGCGAGUUACACCUACUAUAGUAUGUAUACCUAUGCGCAUAAGGUUGAAUCCUUUGUUGUUAUAAUAACUGAAUGAAAAUCUUUCAUAUUUUCACACCGCGUUCAAUGCAAUUAUUCGUAAUCCCAUAGGUGUUGUAUCAACUGCAGCAGCAUCAGAGAGAAAGAGAAGACAAAAAACAGAAUGAGAAGAAAAAAUAAUUACAUAUGUACAAUGAACGAUAAACAUUUCCUUCCAAAUAUUUAAUAAUCAACCCUAACGCUGUAUCGAUAAUUUUGUAAUAAGUGUCUUAUAUUUUCACUCUUUCAACAACAGCAACAACAGCAACACCGGCAACAGUGAUAGGUAGUAAUAGGUGUAGACGUAUUUAAUUAUGUUUUUAAUUUCGACCCGGAAUCGUAAUUGAUCAACAACAUUAUUAUCAAUAUUAUUACUAUCAUCGUCAUCGUCGAUAUUGAAUUUGUUUUUCGUGUAUCUAUCUGAUGUAUAAUUCCAUUAAAUAAUUACUGGUAUGGCAACUGUAUCAAUUUAUGGAUUGUUAAUUCUUGACUCUGAUGUAUCUUUCAGUUUCGGUAUAACAUAUUCCAUUAUCAUAUUAUACAAUAUCAAUAUUAUAUCAUUUCCAAAUUCAAUAUUUAAUUGAAUAAUAAUCGAGGGGAUGUUGUUUAUCAACUAUACAUACCUAUAUAUAUGAAUGUAUUAAGACGUGUAAAUAUGAUAUUCCGUUAAUUGCAUGUAUAUAUAAUUAUAAAUAAUAAUAAUUAUAGGAUUAAAGUGAAAUAAAAGCGGAAUAAUAGAACAAAGAGAAGAAGAAAGCAAAAGAAUUGAAAUGAAAAAUAAAAGUUUUAAUAAACAUGUAUAUCUAAAUAAAAGUGAACAAAUGGUGGUUGUCGCGUAGAAAGAACGUAUGUUCAAAAAGGCGCGCUUAUUAAUUUAUAAAACGAAAGAGAAAAAAAACUAUGCAUAAAUUAUUAAUUAUCUGAUUUUCAACGUUAACUAAUUUAUGCAAUUUCGAUCAUCUUACGAAACCAUCGUUGGCAACGUGCAAAAACUUGUUAAAAUUAUCGGAACAAGAAAAAAAUAUUAUCAUCGUCUCUUAAUCAUCAUUAAUAUCAUCAUUAAUUUUAUUGUUAUCAUUAUUAGAUAAUUUUUUUCUCUAGUUUUUGAGAAACUGCAAUUGCUUCACAAUAGUUUUGUAAGUGUAUAAGAGGUGCGUAAUGUAACAAGCCUACUGUGAUUUGAUUAAAGAACAAUUAGAUAUGUAUUUGUAUAGUAUAAUGAAACGUGGUAGAAGAUACGUAGUUGAUGAUCCUGUAGAUAAUUAAAAAUAAUCAAUAAAUUAAUUAAAAAUUAAAUACAUAUGUAGAAGGGGAAAAUAAUUGAUCGAUUUUAAUCCUUGUCAUAAUAUAAUUAUGGUGUAUGUAUAGAGAACUUUUGAAAGGAAUUUGAAGCAUAAAUUGGGCGCGGUAUGUUUUUAAUUUAAUUAUAUUAUAAUUACCUACAUAAUUAGUGUUAAGUACAUCCAU